rnacentral:rRNA from 1 species
AAUAAAUUUCCAACGUCUAACACACAUCGUUUACGGCAUGGACUACGAGGGUAUCUAAUCCUCUUCGCUACCCAUGCUUUCGUUCCUCAGUGUCAGUAAUGAUCCAGAAAGCUGCCUUCGCAAUUGGUAUUCUUUCUAAUAUCUACGAAUUUCACCUCUACACUAGAAAUUCUGCUUUCCUCUAUCAUACUCUAGCUGAAAAGUUUUGAUGGCAGUUCCAGAGUUAAGCUCUGGGAUUUCACCACCAACUUUUUCAACCACCUACGAACUCUUUAAGCCCAGUAAUUCCGAACUACGCUAGGUCCCUUCGUAUUACCGCGGCUGCUGGCACGAAGUUAGCCGGACCUUCUUAUUCGGGUACAGUCAUUUUCUUCCCCGACGAAAGAGCUUUACAACCCAAGGGCCUUCUUCACUCACGCGGCAUCGCUGCAUCAGAGUUUCCUCCAUUGUGCAAGAUUCCCCACUGCUGCCUCCCGUAGGAGUUUGGGCCGUGUCUCAGUCCCAAUGUGGCUGAUCAUCCUCUCAAAUCAGCUAUUGAUCAUAGUCUUGGUAGGCCAUUACCCUACCAACAAACU